rnacentral:lncRNA from 1 species
GUUAAAGAACCCCAGGUGGUCCAAAUUUCCGGAGUCCCCCACUACGGCGUGCCUCAUAAUCAGAACUGGUUUUGGCACGUAAAACACCAUACUAAAAAAAGAGUUGCUCAUAGUACAUUUGGCAUAUUCAUGCAAAAAGAAUCUUCACGUGUUAGCUUGCCCCUUUUGUGGACACAUUUAAACAUCUUCAGCAACAUUCUUAGUGUGAGAUCUGUGAAAAUUCUAUACACUGUUUUCAGGGUGCUGGCAUAGAACCAAGCAUUGCUUGCCAACUUCUUGCUGCUAGUUUGCCCUUUACACUACCUAUCAUGCAUUAUACAGGAUUUAUAGAAUGUUCUAGCAGUGUUACAUUGGAAUGCAGAAGUUCUUUGUUAUCACAUCAGCAACAGGUUGUACCAUCUUUUGUUGGACCAAUUGCAGUUCUUGAUGCAUACUGGUUCAAGACAAUCUUACAAGCACUGUCUGUAUCAGAGUUGCUACUGCAAACUUGGUUUGUUCUGCAUCAAGAUACACAGGUCUCCUAGUUGCACUUUCAAUUCAGUGCCAUGUGCAAGGUUAUGCUUGAUUAGCUGUUCUUGUGACAGUUACCACUCGAGCAGUUUCACUGCUGUUCACUGAAUUAAUGAUCACUGAAGCACUUCGUUGCACUGCUGUCAUUGCGAAACGGCAUGUUGCUCACCCACACAAAAGGACUCGGUGUAGUCGGGCACUAUUCGUACAACUAGUUGCCUGUGUAACAAAGGUCUUCAGCAUUCGAAUCUCGCUGUAAGCCAUUUACGCUACAUAGCUCAGGUCAUGCUAAGAUGGCAUGAAUAACAAGUUGCAUUUAAGGCAACUUUUUAAGCUCAUAGACGGGCUGCAACAUGGUUCUAACUUUUGUUCAAGCCACAAUUCAGACAUAGAUACUGCUUCACCAAUUUUAGUCAUGACUUUCCGCAAACUGACUGUUAUGCCAAGCUGUUAAUGGUAUCACGAAGGUGAACAAGACAAAAAGUUUUAGGAUUUUUAUACCUCCUUUUAAAUCUUUGAGAGCACUUUAGCUUCUCAUUCAUAUGUCAGGUCACUGAAUCCCGGUGCCCGUCACUGUUUGAUUGAAGUUGGUGUCAGUGACUGCAUUUUUUUUUUUCAUUUCGCAAAACUGAAGCAAUCGGAUGCUAAAAAAAUUGACUUGAAGUGCACAUAAUUUUUUUAAAAUUUGUUUUAGCAUGCAGUGUGCAAUCCGUUUUUUGAAUAUAGUGCUUUGAAUAACUUUGGAAGUAAGGACAUGAAGAUGCUGGUACGAGCGAUUUCGUGAAGGGUUUCUAAGCACAAGCUCUGGUUGGUGGCAGUGAUGUCUGUUGGUAUGUACGUAACUUUGCACCAUUUCACUUUUGUGUGCAGCAUCCCUCGGUUACACUACUUUUGUUACGAAAUGCUUUGCUUUAAAAAGAUUGUUGUAAUAAAAGAUAAAUACUUUGCUCUUGA